CCGAAAAUCGAGCAAUUAACUCGCAGAGUGGUAUUUGUACCAGCCACAACACUCUUACGAGAAACGACCAAUUGUGUGCCAUCUGAGAAGACAAAAGACAAGUUUUCAACAAAAGCGCCGUAGCAACGCAUGAUUUCGGGGAGCUCAACCGAUAACCGAUACAGCAGUACGAAACGGUACUUACCCGGAUUGUCCGCUCUUCCUUGAGCGUGACCUAACAGCAAAA